GGGGGUGCCCGGUUUUGACAGCAUAGAUCUUUGAAAGUGUAAGCAUGUUCUGCGUUGUGUAAUUAGCAGGCUAAUCUGAAUACUCAAAACUCAAAUGGCAAUACUCAGUAUGCCAUGGCUGCCUAAUCAGUGAUUAAGUAGUCAUUAGGGCCGCCGGGCCGGUUCGCUUGUUUCCAUGCCCUGCCGCCGACUUAAAAUAAAACAAGUUGCUGCAAUCAUAGGCUGUGCUGAUUGCCUAAGACCAUCCAGCUAAGGAAGUGAUCGGUUGUUUGUUUCCAGUUACUUUCCGACACAAUAAAACAGAAUAAGCAUGUAGAAAGCUUUCGGCGAAUAUGUUUGGACAGGAGUUCGAUUCUCCUCACCUCCACCC
rnacentral:tmRNA from 1 species